rnacentral:rRNA from 1 species
AUGGCCGAGACAGAGACGCCACGAAUCGCCGGAUGCUUGGACCGGUGGAAGAAAGACGGGGCCGACGAGGCCGUGGCGGCGGUCAUGGCGCUCGCCGACGCCGUCCGGUCCAGCAAGGCCGACACCAUGGCGGGGCUCCUAGCCGAGGUCAAGGCGGCCGCGGAGGAACUCAAGUGUCUAGAUAGCGAGCCGUACGGCGCGCUCUCGGCGGCCUGCGACAUGUUCGUCCGGUACAUGCGUCGCGGCGGCGCCGUCGCCGAUGAUCAGCCAGCCCAGUUCCCCGCCCUCAAACGCCGCCUGGUCAGCCGCGCGCGCGGGGCCAUCGCGACGCUCUGCCAGGACUUCUUGCUGGACGGCUGCACCGUGCUGGUGCACGGCUACUCGCCGCCCGUGCUCGACGCUCUCCGGCUGGCCGGCACCAGCGGCAAGCGCCUCCUGGUCCUAUGCACCGAGGGUAGGCCGGACGGCGCGGGGCUGAGGCUGGCCGGGGAGCUCGCAGCGGCCGGGGUACCGGCGACGGUCCUGCUCGACUCGGCGGUGGCCUACUCAAUGGCCCAGGUCGACGUGGUGCUGGUAGGCGCUGACUUGGUCACCGAGACGGGCGGCGUGGUCGGCGCCGUUGGCACGUACCAGGUCGCCCUGUUCGCAAGGCUGUAUCCGCUGGGACAGAAAGACAUCGAGCAGCGCGGUGGCCGAGCCGUGGACUUCGGCGACGUGCCAGUGCCGGCCGGCGUGGACGUCGAGGCGCCGGCGAGGGACUACACCCAGUCGAAGUACCUGGAGCUUCUGAUCACGGACCUCGGCGUGCUACCGCCGGCGGCCGUUGGAGACGUGCUCCUCCAGCUCUCCAUGUAA